rnacentral:misc_RNA from 1 species
GAAAUGCGAUACGUAAUGUGAAUUGCAGAAUUCAGUGAAUCAUCGAAUCUUUGAACGCAUAUUGCACUCCUUGGGAUUCUGAGGAGUAUGCCUGUUUCAGUAUCAGAAAUACCAUCGAAAACUUUCCUUUUUUCCUCUGGGAGAGGGUUAGAUUUCGGAUCUGGGUUCUUGUGUGUUCUUUCUCUCUGUGGAGAGACUUUGUUUGAGCAUACUGGCCUGAAAAUUAAUCACGAUCAAAAAGUCCAUGAGAACCAUCAAAGAUCUUAAGGCGUCAUAGUUGACCGUGGUCAUCUUUCGCUGUAGGUCUUGUUAGAUGCUGGGCAUUUUUUUCGCGCAAAUUACAAACCAAGGGAAAGAUUUUCUUUCCUUUAUUUAAAUCUUGAUCUGAAAUCAGGUAGGA